rnacentral:lncRNA from 1 species
AACACUAAAUAUGUGGUAUUAUUGCAUUAAUGUAAUGAAAAAAAAAAUUGUUAAUUUUUUUUUCUUCAGUAAACUGGACGCUAGCACUGAUGGAGUGAUUUGGGACACCCCCGAUAUGUCCAGGUGUGAGAAGGUCAUGACUGAUGUUGAUGAUUUGGAGGGGAUCACAGUUACUCCAAACAACUCAGCUGAGGUUGUAGACAUGAUUGAGGACCUGCUGCGUAACGAGACCGACCUGAGCUCGUCUCAGCUCAACACUGUGCUGCAGAAACUGUCUGAGGUCACCAACGUCGGCAUCAUGACCACUCAGCUGGCUGACAGCAUCAUUAGUGUGGUUUCCAAUGUCUUCAAUUCCACAUCCUCUCUCUCCCAGGCCACCAACCAGUGAGUUAACCUGCUACCAGAAGUAGCAGGAUGUAUUCUGGGUAAUUCUUUGUAAAAUAAAUCAUCAAACCUGACUGACAGUUACAUUGAUAGAUUCAUAGCUGUGAGUUUAUGGAUACAUGAAUAUUCUCAAAAUUACUAAAAAGCUAAAUAGCGCAUCAUCCUUUGGCUUCUUCUUUUGUAUAUUUCAGAAUUCUCUCCAUCACAGAGCAGGUGGGGAACAGGAUGGACUUCUCAGGAUUUUGCCACAGCACCACAGUGCCCGAACUGGCACUUCAGAUUAUCAAUCUGGAGCCUGAGAAGUUCCAGGGGCUCACGUUUGGAGUAUCCUCCUUCCAGACGGGCCUGGCUCCUGAGAUAUUUCUCAACCAGACCUUUGAGGAGUCUUCUGCCAUCGGCUCUGUGGCGUCUGUUUCAUUACCCACCAUACUGGAGAGCUUCUUCCCACCAAACACUGUAAACAUGAGUCGUGUUCAGUUUCAUUUCUAUGGAACAGAAAGUCUGUUUGAGGUACUGUCUCUGCAUGCCACAUACAUAAUCCUCAUAUUAAACACAUUAGCUCAGUUUAUCUUAUUUGAUCUUGAAAUGAAUUAUUUAUUAAAAACUGAGCUCAUUUUAGGAAUGGACUGAAUGUUCUGUUUGUAGGACCCUAACAGCAGCCUGACCCUGAAUUCCUACGUGGUGUCUGCCAGUGUGACCAACGCUACUGUGAACGACCUGAAAGAUCCAGUGGUUCUCACGCUUCGCCAUCUUCAGCCUAAAGAGGUGAGUACCAUAGUGAGUGGAUCUUCAAAUUUACAUUUAAACAAGAACAGAAAUAUGAAAACAUGAUCUAGCAUUGCAGAAAAGUGUAAUAAUAAAGCUGCCACCAGGGGGUGAUGUUAUUAGACA